AACAAGGCGUACCUGCGGACCUGCGGAAGGAUCAUUAUCCAUCCAAAACCAGCUGCGGUCGCGGCCCCACGCUUACCCGUGGCGGUACGCGCCGCACGUCUGCACCCUUUUUUUACGAGUACCUUCGUUCUCCCUCGGCAGGGCAACCUGCCGUUGGAACCAUACAAAACCUUUUUUUGCAUCUAGCAUUACCUGUUCUGAUACAAACAAUCGUUACAACUUUCAGCAAUGGAUCUCAGA
rnacentral:misc_RNA from 1 species